rnacentral:rRNA from 1 species
GAUGAACGCUGGCGGCGUGCCUAAUACAUGCAAGUCGAGCGAACGGACGAGAAGCUUGCUUCUCUGAUGUUAGCGGCGGACGGGUGAGUAACACGUGGAUAACCUACCCAUAAGACUGGGAUAACUUCGGGAAACCGGGGCUAAUACCGGAUAAUAUUUUGAACCGCAUGGUUCAAAAGUGAAAGACGGUCUUGCUGUCACUUAUGGAUGGAUCCGCGCUGCAUUAGCUAGUUGGUAAGGUAACGGCUUACCAAGGCAACGAUGCAUAGCCGACCUGAGAGGGUGAUCGGCCACACUGGAACUGAGACACGGUCCAGACUCCUACGGGAGGCAGCAGUAGGGAAUCUUCCGCAAUGGGCGAAAGCCUGACGGAGCAACGCCGCGUGAGUGAUGAAGGUCUUCGGAUCGUAAAACUCUGUUAUUAGGGAAGAACAUAUGUGUAAGUAACUGUGCACAUCUUGACGGUACCUAAUCAGAAAGCCACGGCUAACUACGUGCCAGCAGCCGCGGUAAUACGUAGGUGGCAAGCGUUAUCCGGAAUUAUUGGGCGUAAAGCGCGCGUAGGCGGUUUUUUAAGUCUGAUGUGAAAGCCCACGGCUCAACCGUGGAGGGUCAUUGGAAACUGGAAAACUUGAGUGCAGAAGAGGAAAGUGGAAUUCCAUGUGUAGCGGUGAAAUGCGCAGAGAUAUGGAGGAACACCAGUGGCGAAGGCGACUUUCUGGUCUGUAACUGACGCUGAUGUGCGAAAGCGUGGGGAUCAAACAGGGUUAGAUACCCUGGUAGUCCACGCCGUAAACGAUGAGUGCUAAGUGUUAGGGGGUUUCCGCCCCUUAGUGCUGCAGCUAACGCAUUAAGCACUCCGCCUGGGGAGUACGACCGCAAGGUUGAAACUCAAAGGAAUUGACGGGGACCCGCACAAGCGGUGGAGCAUGUGGUUUAAUUCGAAGCAACGCGAAGAACCUUACCAAAUCUUGACAUCCUUUGACAACUCUAGAGAUAGAGCCUUCCCCUUCGGGGGACAAAGUGACAGGUGGUGCAUGGUUGUCGUCAGCUCGUGUCGUGAGAUGUUGGGUUAAGUCCCGCAACGAGCGCAACCCUUAAGCUUAGUUGCCAUCAUUAAGUUGGGCACUCUAAGUUGACUGCCGGUGACAAACCGGAGGAAGGUGGGGAUGACGUCAAAUCAUCAUGCCCCUUAUGAUUUGGGCUACACACGUGCUACAAUGGACAAUACAAAGGGCAGCGAAACCGCGAGGUCAAGCAAAUCCCAUAAAGUUGUUCUCAGUUCGGAUUGUAGUCUGCAACUCGACUACAUGAAGCUGGAAUCGCUAGUAAUCGUAGAUCAGCAUGCUACGGUGAAUACGUUCCCGGGUCU